CACGUAGGGCGCAAGCGUUGUCCGGAAUUAUUGGGCGUAAAGAGCUCGUAGGCGGUCUGUUGCGUCCGCUGUGGAAAACUCGGGGCUUAACCCCGAGCCUGCAGUGGAUACGGGGUAGACUAGAGGUAGGUAGGGGAGAAUGGAAUUCCCGGUGUAGCGGUGAAAUGCGCAGAUAUCGGGAGGAACACCGGUGGCGAAGGCGGCAUCCUGGACCGAUAUUGACGCUGAUGCGCGAAAGCCAGGGGAGCAAACGGG
rnacentral:rRNA from 1 species